AAAGAAAUUCACCUACGCAACGGGCAGUAUUUGAAUAUCUUAAAGGGAGAGUGUUAGAUGUAUAUCCUAAAUAUAAGAAAGAAGCUAAGGAUCAUCUAUCAAAAGUUGUUAAGUUGAAUCCAUUAGAAGAAACACUCCUUCCCCUUUUCAACGAAAUAACUGAGUCAUAUCAGAUCCUAAUAUCUUCGGAAGGUCUUCAGAACAAGAAAGAAUGACCAUAUAGUUCUGGCGGGAAGGUGAUAUACUUUAUAAGCUUCAUCAUCCAAAUGUGGUGGAAUUUUAUGGGGUAGUUCAAGAUGGACUAAGAGGAACAAUGGCAACUGUCACGAAGUUCACAAUGGAUCUGAAAAUGCCUUAGACAAACAAGGUUACCAAGUUCCCUUGACAAUUUCGGUUGAUAAAGAAAGGAACAAAGCUGUGUAUGCUGAGUCAGGUAAUGAUUUUGUUGAUGCUCUUUUAAGCUUUUUAACAUUACCUUUAGGGACAGUCAUAGCUUCAGGUCCUGCGAAUAGUUCAGGAACAACAAAUACGGCGGGUCCUUCACCAAGGUCAGCACCCUUGACUCAUACUCCUAGAGAUGCUAUUUCAAUGCCUGCUUUGCCUCAUAAUGGCAAUUCUUCAAAGCCUCUAAUGAUGUUUGGCACUGAUGGCACCGAGAUUCUUACGUCACCUUCAAACCAUAAAAAUUUAACAUUGAUGCUGAAUAAAUUUGUUUCUUUUUUGUCAGUGCAUUGAGGUAUAUACAGUUGACAAUGAAGA